GACGAACGCUGGCGGCGUGCCUAAUACAUGCAAGUCGAACGCUUUUUCUUUCACCGGAGCUUGCUCCACCGAAAGAAAAAGAGUGGCGAACGGGUGAGUAACACGUGGGCAACCUGCCCAUCAGAAGGGGAUAACACUUGGAAACAGGUGCUAAUACCGUAUAACACUAUUUUCCGCAUGGAAGAAAGUUGAAAGGCGCUUUUGCGUCACUGAUGGAUGGACCCGCGGUGCAUUAGCUAGUUGGUGAGGUAACGGCUCACCAAGGCAACGAUGCAUAGCCGACCUGAGAGGGUGAUCGGCCACACUGGGACUGAGACACGGCCCAGACUCCUACGGGAGGUAGCAGUAGGGAAUCUUCGGCAAUGGACGAAAGUCUGACCGAGCAACGCCGCGUGAGUGAAGAAGGUUUUCGGAUCGUAAAACUCUGUUGUUAGAGAAGAACAAGGAUGAGAGUAAAACGUUCCUCCCUUGACGGUAUCUAACCAGAAAGCCACGGCUAACUACGUGCCAGCCGCCGCGGUAA
rnacentral:rRNA from 1 species